CCCUGUUUAAGCUAUUGCUUCUUCUAUUAUGUCCCAAUUUUUAAAAAAAUGUUUGGCCUUUCCCCGCUUAACAACCCUGAACUAACAAAGAGAAUAAAUGCAACUUAAUUAUAGGUCUUCUAUGUUUAAUCAAUAUAUAUGGUGUGAUUUUAUUCUGUCCUGUAAGUUUGUGGUAAUCAAAAGCAAUACAGAUGCUUUUCUGAAUGUAUUUCUUUAUAGU